ensembl:lncRNA LINC02380 long intergenic non-protein coding RNA 2380
AGGGUUUUCUAGAGAAACAGCCAAUAGAAUGUCCUAAGAUAUGCAGUUGGCAAGCUGGAGACCCAAGAAGAGCCAAUAUUUCAGUUUGAGUCUGAAGGCAGGAAAAGACUGAUGUCCCAUCUCAAAGCAGUCAGGCAGAGGGAGUUCCCUCUUGUUCUCACUCAAGGAAGGAUGGCGCAGUGCUCCCGCUGUUCCGAGGCUCAGCUACCCUGAGGGAGGCAGGGAAUUUUGAUCAGCUUCUGAAGAAUCACCUCAUCUCUCCCCGCAGAGAGCACAGAGCACAGGACUUCACGUUAUGUCAACAUCUCUUGCAAAAGCCCAGCUCCUAGAGAGCAGGAGCCUUCCCAGACUGUGUCAAAUUACCUCGGGGAUGGAGAGACUUACAUGGCAUUAAUAGAAAUCAAAUGGCAGAGCUCGGGUUUCUGAUGAGUCUCCUGAGGUUCAGAAGGGUGAGAUGACACAUUCAAGGUCACAUGGCUCAUUUGUGUUGGAGUCAGAAGUUUCCAGAUUUCUUGACUUUUAGUCCAAGGAGCAGUCCCUGUGCAUGUGUCAGAGUUGAACAAGCCAGCUGGACUGAGUGCCCAUGACCUCAGGGACAUCUUGGAAGCUAUAUGUAGAAGAUGGAAAAGCCUCUGUCAUCUCCAUCAAUUUAAUCUCCAAAUAACUACUUAGAAAAGGGACAGCUUACUAACUCCUUCAUUGCCCAGUACUAUUAGCUAAAAACAUUAUAACAGGAGAUUCAAAUUCUACAUGGUGGGAGCAAAAGUGGAUCUUGUUUUUCUAUAGCAACAUGGUUGACCUUCAUAGUGAAGUUUGAAUCUGACAGCAUUCAUGCUCAAAUGUCCAAGCCCUGCAUUUCUGAUACCAUGGAAUCACAAGCACGCUGUGUGAUACUGUGCAGCAUUUGAUCCUGCCUGACUUCUGUGUCUCAGCCUAUCAACGAAGAUAUUUAUAGCUGCCUUAUGCCAACGUACUUUUUAAAGCUGGGUAAUACCAGUGUAAGAUGGUCACAUUUAUCUUGAAAGCCGAGGUAGGGUACCAUGUGUGCUCCCUGAACUACUGUCUCCUUGUUCCUUUUGUUUUUUCCUAACUCAUUCAUUCAUUCAUUGAACAAAUAUUUCUUGAGAGGUGGCCCUAUGCUAGAUAUUUUAGUAAGUGUUGGAGAUACAGGGGCAAAUAGGAUAGACCUAUUUCCUCUCUUUACCAUCUAGUGCAGAAAAUAGACACUGAACAAUUAGUUACAGGGAUAAUAAAUGAAGAGUUUGCAAAGCAA